GCACUGAAAUGCAACCGUUAGGUAAGUUAGCAAAAUCUUUGUUGGUAGUGCACAUGAUUUUGCACGUUUAUUUUUCCAUCUGAGGUAGUUUUCACAAUAAAAUUGCUCUCUGUCUCACAGCCCAGCUGGGACUCUGUGGUGACACCAUGCUACCGUGAAGCAAGAAAACACCAGAUGGCCCCAGAAGUUGAGCAAUCUUGAAUGUGGGAACCUGAAGUUUUAUGCCUUCCACUGAGUCCUGCUUCAUUGAACUUGUGAUGAGGACAUAUGACUUUAAAACUAAAAGGACAAGAUGAGCCUGGGGAAAUCCAGAUCCAUGUCUUGAGACUUUAGUUCUUCAAUCUAAGCCACGAACCAAAGCAAGCUGAAGGGUCUGAUUGAUAGAUCCUCCUGAAGACAAAUGCAGCAAGGGGCAAGAGAUUAAUCUUCGGGAUCCCAAGUACUUAUAAGUUCAAAGAUCAGCUGCCUGAUAUGUGUGUGAGGAAAUACGGAGUUAACUAAAAAAAUAUAGAGAGUUAAGUCCCCAAGGCUGAGGAGAAGCAAAAUGAAAAAAAAAAA